rnacentral:rRNA from 1 species
UAAUGCAAGUUGAGCGCUGAGGUUGGUACUUGUACCGACUGGAUGAGCAGCGAACGGGUGAGUAACGCGUGGGGAAUCUGCCUUUGAGCGGGGGACAACAUUUGGAAACGAAUGCUAAUACCGCAUAAAAACUUUAAACACAAGUUUUAAGUUUGAAAGAUGCAAUUGCAUCACUCAAAGAUGAUCCCGCGUUGUAUUAGCUAGUUGGUGAGGUAAAGGCUCACCAAGGCGAUGAUACAUAGCCGACCUGAGAGGGUGAUCGGCCACAUUGGGACUGAGACACGGCCCAAACUCCUACGGGAGGCAGCAGUAGGGAAUCUUCGGCAAUGGACGAAAGUCUGACCGAGCAACGCCGCGUGAGUGAAGAAGGUUUUCGGAUCGUAAAACUCUGUUGGUAGAGAAGAACGUUGGUGAGAGUGGAAAGCUCAUCAAGUGACGGUAACUACCCAGAAAGGGACGGCUAACUACGUGCCAGCAGCCGCGGUAAUACGUAGGUCCCGAGCGUUGUCCGGAUUUAUUGGGCGUAAAGCGAGCGCAGGUGGUUUAUWAAGUUCGKGGKGUAAAAAGGCCAGGUGSCUUCAACCCAUUUGUAUGCCAUUGGAAAACUUGGUAGACUUUGAGUGCCAGGARAGGAAGAKUGGAAUUCCCAUGKGUAGCGGGUGAAAUGGSGUAGAUWUAUGGAGGAACCMCCGGUGGCGAAAGCGGCUUYUCUGGCCUGUAACUGACACUGAGGCUCGAAAGCGUGGGGAGCAAACCAGGAUUASAUACCCUGGGUAGUCCAACKCCGUAAACCRAUURAKUGCUARAUGUAGGGAGCUAUAAGUUCUCUGUAUCGCAGCUAACGCAAUAAGCACUCCGCCUGGGGAGUACGACCGCAAGGUUGAAACUCAAAGGAAUUGACGGGGGCCCGCACAAGCGGUGGAGCAUGUGGUUUAAUUCGAAGCAACGCGAAGAACCUUACCAGGUCUUGACAUACUCGUGCUAUUCCUAGAGAUAGGAAGUUCCUUCGGGACACGGGAUACAGGUGGUGCAUGGUUGUCGUCAGCUCGUGUCGUGAGAUGUUGGGUUAAGUCCCGCAACGAGCGCAACCCCUAUUGUUAGUUGCCAUCAUUAAGUUGGGCACUCUAACGAGACUGCCGGUGAUAAACCGGAGGAAGGUGGGGAUGACGUCAAAUCAUCAUGCCCCUUAUGACCUGGGCUACACACGUGCUACAAUGGAUGGUACAACGAGUCGCGAGACAGUGAUGUUUAGCUAAUCUCUUAAAACCAUUCUCAGUUCGGAUUGUAGGCUGCAACUCGCCUACAUGAAGUCGGAAUCGCUAGUAAUCGCGGAUCAGCACGCCGCGGUGAAUACGUUCCCGGGCCUUGUACACACCGCCCGUCACACCACGGGAGUUGGGAGUACCCGAAGUAGGUUGCCUAACCGCAAGGAGGGCG